rnacentral:misc_RNA from 1 species
UCCGGCUUGACGCCGGCAGUCUCGUCAGAGUCCCCGGCAUGACCCGUUGGCAACUGACGACAGGGGUUUCGCUCGUUGUAGGACUUAACCUGACACUUCACAGCACGAGCUGACGACAGCCAUGCAGCACCUGUGCAUGUUCCAACCUUGCGGCUGUGGCCCCACUUUCAUGGGGUUAAUCCAUGCAUGUCAAACCCGGGUAAGGUUCUUCGCGUUGCCUCGAAUUGAACCACAUGCUCCACCGCUUGUGUGAGCCCCCGUCAAUUCCUUUGAGUUUUAACCUUGCGGCCGUAUUUCCCAGGCGGCGGACUUAACGUUUUUACUCCGGCCGGGACGGCGGUAAAACCGCCCCGACCCAGUCCGCAUCGUUUACGGCCAGGACUA